AGCUCUGAGAACUGAAUUCCAUGGGUUGUGUCAAUGUCAGACCUGUGAAGUUCAGUUCUUCAGCU
ensembl:miRNA Mir146 microRNA 146